UAUUGUGAUGAUUGCCUACAUGGAUGGGACCAUCAGGACUCGAACACAUCAAGGUGUGACAAAGCUUGUCUUCCUGGUACGUAUGGAAAGAACUGUCAACUGAAGUGUUCUCCUGGGUGUGCCAACCAAACCUGCGAUCGAGUCACUGGGUAUUGUGAUGAUUGCCUACAUGGAUGGGACCAUCAGGACUCGAACACAUCAAGGUGUGACAAAGCUUGCCUCCCCGGUACGUAUGGAAAGAACUGUCAACUACAGUGUUCUCCUGGAUGUGCCAACCAAACCUGCGAUCGAGUCACUGGGUAUUGUGAUGAUUGCCUACAUGGAUGGGACCAUCAGGACUCGAACACAUCAAGGUGUG